CAUUAACCGAGGAUAGAUACGGAAUUCU
rnacentral:rRNA from 1 species